UACGUAGGGCGCGAGCGUUGUUCGGAUUUACUGGGCGUAAAGGGCGCGUAGGCGGUCAGCACAAGUCAGUUGUGAAAUCUCCGGGCUUAACUCGGAAAGGUCAACUGAUACUGUGCGACUAGAGUGCAGAAGGGGCAACUGGAAUUCUCGGUGUAGCGGUGAAAUGCGUAGAUAUCGAGAGGAACACCUGCGGCGAAGGCGGGUUGCUGGGCUGACACUGACGCUGAUGCGCGAAAGCCAGGGGAGCGAGCGGG
rnacentral:rRNA from 1 species